rnacentral:lncRNA from 1 species
ACAUGAAGGUCUCUGUUCGUCGUCUACUGCCACAUAACAAGUCACCCCCAAAACGCAGUGGCAUGAAACAAGCACGUUCUGCUUGUUCCGUUGUAAAAACCCGAGGAAGAGCCCUGAUUGGCUCAACUCGGUCAUGUGUUUGUUGCUGGGCCAAUCACAAUGGCCAGGGGUGUGGCAGGAACAGGAAGUUGAAAAUGAAGGUGUUCCCUUAAUAGAAAGGGCAGACAAUCAAGUCACAUCUAACACGUCUGCCGCUGAACUCCCACGCCAGGAGGUCUCCACACCGGGGUCUGUCCUCCCGGCAAGGCUCCUGACCUUUUGUGUCCUGGAACACAGCGGAAGAACAAGAUGGCAUGGCCCGGCUGGAAAUAGUACUUGGGAAAAGGCCAUAGGCUCGACUGCUUGCUCCGCAGCACGCAGAAGGGCCAUUGCCAAAAAAUCUAAUUAUCCAGAAAUGUGGAACAAAGACACUGCAGGAGAAAGGGGCUGAGCAGAAGGGCGGUGGAAGGCGGGCAGAGACAGAGCCGGUCUGAUGGGUGGGCGGCGUCCCUCUCUGUCAGUGGCAACCUGUGACCAAGGAGUAGGAGACACCACAGCUGGGGUAGACUGGUCUGUCAACUAGGAGCUUCUAAGGAAGCCGUCUGACUAUACCACCCGUCCAAGAAAGAGGACCCUUCCAUCCUGCAAAGUUGUGGAUGGUCAAUCUCACUCUGCCAAGGGAGAAUCACAGAGUCCCUCCUAGAGGAACCCACCCAGAUAAUCUCCCGGGUCCUCAGAUGAGACAUUUGUGAUGGGAGCAAAAGACGGGCUACACGUUUGCCUGUGGAGAAACCACAAUGGAAUGUUCUUACCUUGCUGCCUCCGAGACCGUUGGCUCACAGGCUUUCAAGCAACUGCUAAGCCGAUUCUGGGUCAGGACCUGCUCUUGUUCUGGUCCUCACUGGCGGGAUUGUUACAGGACACUGGCAUUUCUCUUCACUCCAGCAAUGUUCCCUGGAGCUACACUACAGGAUUAUUAACAGCAAGUUAUAGGGCCUCCCUGUGUCGAUAUUAGUAUCGCCAGCCCUGAGGACGUGUCAUAACACCAACACGUAGGUGUGACAUUGAAACUAUUUAACACCUGGGACCUCACUGGCAUCAGAACUGGCAGGGUCCUGAGGCCUUCUGUUGUGCCAGGCAUUGGCAGGUCAGUUUAUCAGUCAUGGGAAUGUCUGGGAGGUCCCAGAAAAGAGCCGGAGCAAAAGAGGGGACACUCGGGGAUCUCAGCGUGGCACUGUUUACCAACUGGCAUGGAACUAUUUCCAUAUUUUCAAGACAGCAACAGUUGGAUACCGACCUACAAAAGAAUAAAGUUGAAUCCCUUUCUUAUUUCA